rnacentral:tRNA from 1 species
GCCUGGAUGGCGGAACUGGUAGACGCAAGGGACUUAAAAUCCCUCGGUGAAUUCACUGUGCGGGUUCAACUCCCGCUCCAGGCA